rnacentral:rRNA from 1 species
CCUACGGGGUGCAGCAGUGAGGAAUAUUGGUCAAUGGACGAGCGUCUGAACAAGCCAAGUAGCGUGAAGGAUGACUGCCCUAUGGGUUGUAAACUUCUUUUAUAUGGGAAUAAAAUGUUCCACGUGUGGGAUUUUGUCUGUACCAUAUGAAUAAGGAUCGGCUAACUCCGUGCCAGCAGCCGCGGUAAUACGGAGGAUCCGAGCGUUAUCCGGAUUUAUUGGGUUUAAAGGGAGCGUAGGUGGAUUGUUAAGUCAGUUGUGAAAGUUUGCGGCUCAACCGUAAAAUUGCAGUUGAAACUGGCAGUCUUGAGUACAGUAGAGGUGGGCGGAAUUCGUGGUGUAGCGGUGAAAUGCUUAGAUAUCACGAAGAACUCCGAUUGCGAAGGCAGUUCACUGGACUGCAACUGACACUGAGGCUCGAAAGUGUGGGUAUCAAACAGGAUUAGAUACCCUAGUAGUC